CCUACGGGAGGCAGCAGUGAGGAAUAUUGGUCAAUGGACGAGAGUCUGAACCAGCCAAGUAGCGUGAAGGAUGACUGCCCUAUGGGUUGUAAACUUCUUUUAUAAAGGAAUAAAACGAGGCACGUGUGCCUUUUUGCAUGUACUUUAUGAAUAAGGAUCGGCUAACUCCGUGCCAGCAGCCGCGGUAAUACGGAGGAUCCGAGCGUUAUCCGGAUUUAUUGGGUUUAAAGGGAGCGUAGAUGGGUUGUUAAGUCAGUUGUGAAAGUUUGCGGCUCAACCGUAAAAUUGCAAUUGAUACUGGCAGUCUUGAGUACAGUUGAGGUAGGCGGAAUUCGUGGUGUAGCGGUGAAAUGCUUAGAUAUCACGAAGAACCCCGAUUGCGAAGGCAGCUUACUAAACUGUGACUGACGCUGAGGCACGAAAGCGUGGGUAUCGAACAGGAUUAGAUACCCUGGUAGUC
rnacentral:rRNA from 1 species